UGAAACCGUGGGGAUCGAACUUCUGUUGAGAUUGAUGUUGCUGAUUCUACGAUCCGCUGUUGGCUCCACGACACUUCCCAUAAUCAAAUUUUGCUCGUCGAGCGCUUCCUCUGGAUGUGCUACAAGGAAUGAGCUCCCUCCUUUCCAUCAAUGAGAGUGAGAUCUUUACGUGAUUCUAAUGCAUGAUUUUUUAAUUUCACAUGCGGGGGAUGUCUGAUGCAUGCUGGGUCUUACGUUUGUAGGAUAAUAAAUAACAUGAUCAUCUUGAUCCUUGGGACUUCCAAACGGCUUCCUUAAUAGUUAAUACUGUAAGAGAAGGACUACCUGCUUUUCUGUUGCGCAAUUUUUUGCUUCCUUUGUCCUGAUGUUUCCACAGUGCUGCGUGUCCCGGCGGCCAGCGGUGCUCAGGAGACGAUGUUUUGUGGGGAGAUGGAUUGGCCGAUAACUUAGGAGCAGCAAGCAACCGGGUAUUUGAGAAGCUAAUGUUAUUCUCUAGUAAUGACAGCCUUGGGUUGAGUUCGCAUCCCACAAUUGGAAAAGCUGCUGCCAAGGCAGCAAAAGAGCGUGGGAUGGUUCCAAGAGGAUCUGCUCUGAUCUGUGGACAUUCCGAUUACCGCAGACAUUUGGAGUCUUGCUUGGCAGAGUUACAGAAGAAAGAGGUGAUUGUUGGACACUGAAAUCAACUUUACUAUUCAAUCCACGUAGAUUUCUCUACCUCCUCUCUCACCUCUUGACUCUCAUCAGGUCCUCCAUGCGCAUUACCUUCAUCAUCACGCAUGUCUGAAGCUUUCUUUGAUCGCUCUGUCAUGGAGUAAUGAAGAGACAGAAGGUUCCAUCGCAACAUAUUCAGAGUAUACAUGUGCUCGCAUUCAUCAAGACACUAAAUUUAUCUGGUUCCAAAUAAUGAGAGACCGAAGAGCAGUCCAAAUGUGAUUGUGAUCAUCCACUUAUGUCCAUCUGUAGUGAAGUAGCAGAGUCAGGCUUCAAUCUUAUUGGUCUUGACAUCGUUUUCGCCCA